rnacentral:rRNA from 1 species
UACAGAGGGGGCAAGCGUUGUUCGGAAUUACUGGGCGUAAAGGGCUCGUAGGUGGCCAACUAAGUCAGACGUGAAAUCCCCAGGCUCAACUUGGGAACUGCGUCUGAUACUGGAUGGCUUGAAUUCGGGAGAGGGAUGCAGAAUUCCAGGUGUAGCGGUGAAAUGCGUAGAUAUCUGGAGGAAUACCGGUGGCGAAGGCGGCACCCUGGACCGAGAUUGACACUGAUGAGCGAAAGCUAGGGGAGCAAACGGG